rnacentral:rRNA from 1 species
CCUACGGGUGGCUGCAGUGGGGAAUAUUGCACAAUGGGGGAAACCCUGAUGCAGCGACGCCGCGUGAGUGAAGAAGUCAUUCGGUGUGUAAAGCUCUAUUAGUAGGACAGAAAAUGACGGUACCUGAGUCAGACGCCCCGUCUAACUACGUGACAGCAGCCGCGGUAAUACGUAGGGGGCAAGCGUUAUCCGGAUUUACUGGGUGUAAAGGGGGCGUAGACGGCUGUGCAGGUCAGGAGUGAAAGGCGGGGGCUCAACCCCCGGACUGCUCUGGAAACUGUUCGGCUGGAGUGCAGGAGAGGUAAGUGGAAUUCAUGGUGUAGCGGUGAAAUGCGUAGAUAUUAGGAGGAACACCGGUUGCGAAGGCAGCUUACCGGACUGUAACUGACGUUGAGGCACGAAAGCGUGGGGAGCAAACAGGAUUAGAUACCCCGGUAGUC